rnacentral:tRNA from 3 species
CGGGACGUGGCGCAGUUUGGUAGCGCGCUCGGUUCGGGACCGAGAGGUCGCUGGUUCGAAUCCAGUCGUCCCGACCA